CAGCAGCCGCGGUAAUACGUAGGUGGCGAGCGUUGUCCGGAAUUAUUGGGCGUAAAGCGCGCGCAGGUGGUUUAAUAAGUCUGAUGUGAAAGCCCACGGCUCAACCGUGGAGGGUCAUUGGAAACUGUUAAACUUGAGUGCAGGAGAGAAAGGUGGAAUUCCUAGUGUAGCGGUGAAAUGCGUAGAGAUUAGGAGGAACACCAGUGGCGAAGGCGGCUUUUUGGCCUGUAACUGACACUGAGGCGCGAAAGCGUGGGGAGCAAACAGGAUUAGAUACCCCCGUAGUCCCUGUCUCUUAUAC
rnacentral:rRNA from 1 species